ACAGCAGCCGCCGCGGGAAAACGAAGGGUGCAAGCGUUACUCGGAAUUACUGGGCGUAAAGCGUGCGUAGGUGGUGGUUUAAGUCCGUUGUGAAAGCCCUGGGCUCAACCUGGGAAUUGCAGUGGAUACUGGGUCACUAGAGUGUGGUAGAGGAUAGUGGAAUUUCCGGUGUAGCAGUGAAAUGCGUAGAGAUCGGAAGGAACAUCUGUGACGAAGGCGACUAUCUGGGCCAACACUGACACUGAGGCACGGAAGCGUGGGGAGCAAACAGGAUUAGAUACCCCAGUAGUCCCUGUCUCUUAUAC
rnacentral:rRNA from 1 species